rnacentral:lncRNA from 1 species
AAUUCCUCAUUUUGGAUGCUUCUUACCUGCCUUGUAGUAAUAAAAAAUUUAUUUUCUGUUGCAGUAGAAGCCGUUUUGGUCUUAUAGUAUUGACAAGCUCAUUUAGUAGAUGUUUGUUUUACUUGAAACAUUAUGCACAUUCUGAUCUUUUUUUUUUUUUUAAAAAAAGAGGUAAUUCAUUUUUUAGCCAAAAGACUGCUGUACCGUACAUCCGCCUUGGCCGUACAGCAUUUUUUUUUUUUUUAAAAAAGAGGUAAUUCAUUUUUUAGCCCUUUACCUCACCCAAGUUUCGAACACAAGUGGUCAGCCAAAGAAAGCUGCUUGAAAACCACUUGGCCACCCCCUUGGAGGCACAUUCUGAUCUGAUUUGAUUGUGCUGAUUAAUCUGUGCUUUUAGUAUCUAUUCUCGGUAAUCUGCUUUUGAAAAGGAGUUAUUUUGUAUUGUUUUCUUUGACUGUUUCAUUUAUGUUCAUGUUAUUAAUAUGUUAUUGUUGGUUUUCUAAUUACCGAUGC